rnacentral:rRNA from 1 species
GAUGAACGCUAGCUACAGGCUUAACACAUGCCAGUCGCGGGGCAGCAUGGGGGUUGCUUGCAAUCCCCGAUGGCGACCGGCGCACGGGUGAGUAACGCGUAUCCAACCUGCCCUUCACCACGGGAUAACCCGGCGAAAGUCGGACUAAUACCGUAUGUUGUCCAUUGACGGCAUCCGAUUUGGACGAAAGGUUUGGCGGUGAAGGAUGGGGAUGCGCCCGAUUAGCUGGACGGCGGGGUGACGGCCCACCGUGGCGACGAUCGGUAGGGGUUCUGAGAGGAAGGUCCCCCACACUGGAACUGAGACACGGUCCAGACUCCUACGGGAGGCAGCAGUGAGGAAUAUUGGUCAAUGGGCGUAAGCCUGAACCAGCCAAGUAGCGUGCAGGAUGACGGCCCUAUGGGUUGUAAACUGCUUUUAUGCGGGGAUAAAGUGGCCCACGUGUGGGUUUUUGCAGGUACCGCAUGAAUAAGGACCGGCUAAUUCCGUG